AACGAACGCUGGCGGCAUGCCUAACACAUGCAAGUCGAACGGGAUCCUGGCUUCGGUCAGGUGAGAGUGGCGGACGGGUGAGUAACGCGUGGGAACCUGCCCAGUGGUGGGGGAUAACUGCGGGAAACUGCAGCUAAUACCGCAUGAGCCCGAGAGGGGGAAAGAUUUAUCGCCAUUGGAGGGGCCCGCGUUCGAUUAGGUAGUUGGUGAGGUAACGGCUCACCAAGCCGACGAUCGAUAGCUGGUCUGAGAGGAUGAUCAGCCACACUGGGACUGAGAUACGGCCCAGACUCCUACGGGAGGCAGCAGUGGGGAAUAUUGGACAAUGGGGGGCAACCCUGAUCCAGCAACGCCGCGUGAGUGAUGAAGGCCUUCGGGUUGUAAAGCUCUUUUGUCCGGGGACGAUGAUGACGGUACCCGGAGAAUAAGCCCGGCUAACUUCGUGCCAGCAGCCGCGGUAAU
rnacentral:rRNA from 1 species